GUUAUCUCGCACUAAAAAUUGAUAAAUGUUGUGACUCUAUUUUCCCCCUUGGAGCUGGAGUAAACAGAAUUCCUCUGUUGUGGAAGGUUCACCUGAAGGUGUCCCAAUCUCCAAAGUGCAUAUCAUUCCGAUAUGGCCUGUUAUACUUUCCAUUGAAAUCAGUUGCAUUUGCACUAUAGGAAGGCCUCCUGUCUGCAAAAUUGCAAUGCUCUACAGUUUACAAUUCAUCAAAGAGGUCACAUUUCACAGUCUUUCCAGACAAAUGUACCUUUCACUAGUCAAAGCGGUGUCAAAAUUUUCACCAGUAACAGUUUCCUGCUCGCACAGCUGAAGGCUGUACAUAAAUGGAUCCCUUUUUUGCACUCUCUUGGUAGGUAAUAUACGGGUGCACUUUGUUCCUGCAGAAAUUUUCAUCUCGUCGAGCUCUUUUCGACCAUCUGCUAUCACAUGAAGAUUUUACAAGUGGUGUUCCUUGCACCAUAGAGGGACGUAAUGCUGCUUCUAAGAACUAUAGAACCAAUUCCUCCAGGUGUCAUCCUGACGAAAUGCCAACACAUUCAACACAAAAAGUAUUGUCUCAAAAGUUUUGCUCUCUGACUUCUUGCAGCCAGCAGUGUGGACAGUGAGGAAGCACAUAUUGCACGCCGAAAACAUCACCUCAUCACAGAUGCAUCGUGCACUGACACUAUCUUGUGGUCUCUAGAGACGAGUACAACCCGUGCUAUGGGAAACUGGUACACAUCUUUGUGGAAACUGGCCCGGAGGUGAUGCCAAUGUUUCUUUUUCGCAUAACGCCAUCAAGCUUCCUACUAGACCUCAGGCUAUACCAUCUUGAAUCUCAGAAUAUCACUGCUCAACCAUGAUUAUAGAG